AGGAAGUAAAAGUCGUAACAAGGUUUCCGUAGGUGAACCUGCGGAAGGAUCAUUAAAAAAUCAAGUUUACACCACACAUUUCAUUAGAAAAACAACAAAACAAAAACUUCAAUAGCCAAAACAAAAAACUUUCAACAACGGAUCUCUUGGCUCUCGCACCGAUGAAGAACGCAGCGAAAUGCGAUACGUAGUAUGACUUGCAGCCUUCGUGAAUCAUCGAAUCUUUGAACGCACAUUGCACCCAGUGGCAUUCCACUGGGUAUGCCUGGCUGAGCGUCUUUUCUCCCUCAACACUGUUGGCUGUGGGAACACGUUCCCCAAAGAAAAAAAAGACGAUUCGGGAGCAACAACGCUUCUUCCGAACAAAAGC
rnacentral:misc_RNA from 1 species